rnacentral:rRNA from 1 species
UACGAAGGGGGCGAGCGUUGUUCGGAAUUACUGGGCGUAAAGGGCGCGCAGGCGGCUCUGAAAGUCAGAUGUGAAAGCCCCGGGCUUAACCUGGGAAUUGCAUUUGAUACUCUGGAGCUUGAGUGUGGGAGAGGAGAGUGGAAUUCCCAGUGUAGAGGUGAAAUUCGUAGAUAUUGGGAAGAACACCGGUGGCGAAGGCGGCUCACUGGCUCGUAACUGACGCUCAGGCGCGACAGCGUGGGGAUCAAACAGG